rnacentral:tRNA from 3 species
GCGGGCGUAGUAUAUCGGUAGUACGUGAGCUUCCCAAGCUUGAGGGGCGGGUUCGAUUCCCGCCGCCCGCACCA